rnacentral:rRNA from 1 species
UACGUAGGGUGCGAGCGUUAAUCGGAAUUACUGGGCGUAAAGCGUGCGCAGGCGGUUUCUUAAGUCAGAUGUGAAAGCCCCGGGCUUAACCUGGGAACUGCGUUUGAAACUGGGAGACUUGAGUGUGGCAGAGGGGGGUGGAAUUCCGCGUGUAGCAGUGAAAUGCGUAGAUAUGUGGAGGAACACCGAUGGCGAAGGCAGCCCCCUGGGUUAACACUGACGCUCAUGCACGAAAGCGUGGGGAGCAAACAGG